CGAGCUCAUAAUAAUGAAGUAAUAAGAGAAAAAUGAGGAUGUCCUUGCAAGAAUCAUAAGAACUUGCAGGUUGAGAGUCCAGUCCCAUGUUAACAACAGAGCUCAUGGGUAAGGAUAGUCCAGCCCGGAAAGAGUUUACAGAUAAGAAUGCCUUAGCAAAAUAGAUGAGUCUAUAAGCCAAAAGUUCAGUCAAUUAGUAGAAUUUUAGUUCUGAUGAGUUUGAAAGCAAAAAGAAGAAAACAAGCAAAAUAAAUAAAAAUGAAAUUUCAUUCAAAGAAAAAGAAGAGUUACAGUCUAAUCACCCAC
rnacentral:lncRNA from 1 species